rnacentral:rRNA from 1 species
AUGCCUGCCUUCCCGGAUGCGGCCGUGCUGGCCUACUACCUCGCCGACGGCUGCGCCAAGAUCCUGCUGCCGCUCCUCUGCUUCCUGGGCGGCGGCGGGCCGUCCACCCGCAGCCCCGCCGUCGACGAGGCAGCCUCCUUCCUCCUCGUCCUCCUCCCGACGGCCUACCUCGUUGGCGUCCUCCUCGCCCACUUCGCCGGCGUCGUCCUCGCCCCGAUGCCGGCCACAACCGCAGCCGCGGCCGACCCGGCGCGGUUUGUCGUUCUGCUCUUGGCGCUCGUCGCCGCGUGGCUUCUCCUCAUUGUCGUGCCGUUCGCCGCCGUCUCCUUCUUCCUCGGCGCCGGCAAGCGGGGGUCUGGGCCGGGGGGUCCAUGCAUGCCAACUUUUGGCAGAGUUGCAGCUGGGAGGAGCUCCUACGGCGGCCACCCCGUCCCGCGCCCACACCUCGCCGCCCCGUCCACGAUCACGCCUAGAGCGACCAGCAAACAGCAGCGGCAGCAGCAGCAAGAAGUAGCAGUAGCAAGAAGGCAACAGCAGCAGAGCUUCAGCGGCAACAACGGCAAAAUAGCAGGCAACGGCCACGAGCAGCAGCAGUUACCCCCGCGCACGGGCAAGGGCAGCUGCGGGCGCAGCGUACGACGACGGGAGCAGCGGGGUGCGGCCAGGGGACGGCCGCCUCGCGGUUGGACGCGGCCGGGGGGAGCGUACGGGGCGCCCUGGCGCGUGGCGCGGGCGCGCAUCGCGGCCAACGGCCGGAGCUUGGGCCGCGGCCGGCGAGUGGAUGCGAAACGCGGGCAAGGAUGGGCGUGGCGCGGGCGCAGGCAGGAGAGCCCAGGGGGCGGGCUGAGCGCGGUGACAACAGGUAGGGCAUGCGGGAUCGGAGCAUCGUGUGUGGCGGCCUCGUCGGGUGCGUGCGACUACGACGACGGGUCAAGGUUGAGCAAGGGGUCAAGGCGAGGAGGAGCGCCCAUUCCCGUGUCUGGCCGGCUCCGAUACCGCCUCCCGUCGCGGCCCGGCGCUGUUCCAGCGCGACGGCUCGUCGUCCAUGUCCGGCGCCAUGGACGAGCUCCCCGCCUCCCUGCUCCGGUGCCCUCCCCGCGAGCUCCGGCGCCCGCCCGCCGUGACGCCCCCGUGCCCCAGCUCCGGCGCCCCUGCUCACCGCGCCUGUCCUGUUCCGUGCGCGCCUGCUUCGCUUCCUCCUUCCGCCCCCUUUCCCUUCCCACCACCACCGCGAGCUGCUGCAUCGAUCCAAACCCCAUUGCUUCAGCUCGCUCGCCACCCACCACCAUGCCUGCCAUGCCAGAUGCGGCCGUGCUGGCCUUCUACCUCGCCGACGGCUGCGCCAAGAUCCUCGUGCCGCUCCUCUGCUUCCUCGGCAGCGGCGGGCCGUCCACCCGCAGCCCCGCCGUCGACGACGCGGCCGCCUUCCUCCUCGUCCUCCUCCCCACGGUCUACCUCGCCGGCGUCAUCCUCGCCCACUUCGCCGGCGUCAUCCUCGCCCAUCUCCACAUGGCCACCCCGACGCCGGCCACGGCACCGAGCACGACUGCGGCCGCGGCCGUCUCUUCCGCCGGUCCGACGCGGUUCGUCGCUCUACUCUUCGCGCUCCUCUCCGCGCUACUUCUACUCAUUGCUGUGCCGUUCGCCGGCGUCUCCUUCUUCCACGGCGCCGGCAAGCGCGGGACUGGGCCGGGGUUCAGCGAGAACGUGCUGAGCUAA